UACGUAGGGGGCAAGCGUUGUCCGGAAUCAUUGGGCGUAAAGAGCGCGUAGGCGGUCCGGUAAGUCCGCUGUGAAAGUCAAGGGCUCAACCCUUGAAUGCCGGUGGAUACUGUCGGGCUAGAGUCCGGAAGAGGCGAGUGGAAUUCCUGGUGUAGCGGUGAAAUGCGCAGAUAUCAGGAGGAACACCAAUGGCGAAAGGCAGCUC
rnacentral:rRNA from 1 species